rnacentral:rRNA from 1 species
AUGAGUGUGGAACAGGACGUGAAGGUGGUGGAGUCGUGCAUGGUGACUCCCAGCGAGGAGACGCCUAGGAAAGGCUUGUGGAUUUCCCCGAUCGACCUCACGUGGGCCACCAGGGGCCACACUCCGACGGUGCACCUGUACCUUCCCGGCUCCGGUCCCGUCGAUGGCUUCUUCGACGUGCCCAGGCUCAAGGCGGCAUUGGCCAAGGCUCUGGUCGCCUUCUACCCCCUGGCCGGCCGUCUCGGCAUGGACUCCAAUGGCCGGGCAGAGAUCGAUUGCACUGGCGAGGGCGCGCUCUUUGUUGUCGCUCUCUCAGACCUCACCGUCGAAGACUUCAGCAAGUUGAAGCCGUCGCGGGAGCUAAAGAGGCUCUUCAUUCCCCGCGUCGAGGACUACUCGCCGCCCCUCAUGUGCGGCCUCCAGGUGAACUUCCUCAAGGGCGGCGGAGUGGCCAUUGGGAUGACGCUGCACCACACCUCCGCCGACGCCAUGAGCGCGUUCCACUUCUUGCAGACCUGGGCUGCUUUCUCCAGGGACGCGGCGGCAGCGGCGGCCCUGGAGCUCCCGUGCCACGAACGCACCCUCCUCCGUCCUCGCUCCCCUCCCGUCGUACACCCCGACGCUCUCACCGUGUUCUGCCCGAGGGUAGGCAAAUCCGAGCCGCCGGGAGCCGUUGAGAACGUGAUUUUCGUCCUCUCCAAAGACCAGGUCGACGCUAUCAAGCGUGCUUGCACCGGCAGAGCUGACGGUGGCCGCGUGAGCUCCUUCUGCGCCGUGAGCGCCCACGUGUGGCGGUGCCUGUGUGUUGCCCGACAACUGCCGGCGGACGCGACGACGCGCCUCACCUUCCCCGCCAACAUCCGGCGCAGCCUGAGGCCGCCGCUCCCGGACACGUACUUUGGAAACGGGAUCGUCAUGCUGGGCGCCGUCGCCAAGGUGCAGGACAUUGUCUGCUCCGACGAGCUGGCCUCUGUUGCUGGUCGGAUUAGAGACGUUAUCCGCCGGAUGGACGACGAGCUGGUGCGUUCGGUGAUCGACCACUUGGAGAUGGCCGGCAGCCAGACAUUUAUGCCUUCGGGAAGGAUGCCGGUGACUGAGCUGAAGGUGGUCAGCUGGCGAGGCAUGCCGGUGUACGACGCGGAUUUUGGCUGGGGGAAGCCGGUGGCCAUGCACCGCGCCGUGCAACCGCAUGGCGGGAUCAUCUGCCUCAUAGACGACGACGGCGGCAGCAUGCGCAUCGUCCUGUCUGCCGAGCCUGGAAUUGUCAAGGACUUCGAGCGCCUGCUACAUGCCAAGUUUUAA